rnacentral:rRNA from 1 species
AGAACUUAGCAGAGAUGCUUUUGGUGCCCUUCGGGAACUCUGAGACAGGUGCUGCAUGGCUGUCGUCAGCUCGUGUUGUGAAAUGUUGGGUUAAGUCCCGCAACGAGCGCAACCCUUAUCCUUUGUUGCCAGCGGUCCGGCCGGGAACUCAAAGGAGACUGCCAGUGAUAAACUGGAGGAAGGUGGGGAUGACGUCAAGUCAUCAUGGCCCUUACGAGUAGGGCUACACACGUGCUACAAUGGCGCAUACAAAGAGAAGCGACCUCGCGAGAGCAAGCGGACCUCAUAAAGUGCGUCGUAGUCCGGAUUGGAGUCUGCAACUCGACUCCAUGAAGUCGGAAUCGCUAGUAAUCGUGGAUCAGAAUGCCACGGUGAAUACGUUCCCGGGCCUUGUACACACCGCCCGUCACACCAUGGGAGUGGGUUGCAAAAGAAGUAGGUAGCUUAACCUUCGGGAGGGCGCUUACCACUUUGUGAUUCAUGACUGGGGUGAAGUCGUAACAAGGUAAGCGUAGUGCU